rnacentral:lncRNA from 1 species
UCUCUAUCUCCUUCAAAACAGACGCCCCACUCCUUUCUCCAUUUUCAGAAAACUUCCAAGCUCUUAUAUCUUUCAAGCAGAGGAAUGACGCACCAUUUUUGUGCAAAAAGGUCUCUCUACUCUCAUUAGGUAUCCAAAUAUUCCAAGGGAUAUUUCUUUUCCUCUUUCUUGUUUGUGCUUGAAAACUUCGAAAUCAAAUUGAAGCAGACCACAGCCUCGCCAAUUCGGGUAAGGACUAGAACAAGUCAUGCUGUUUUUCCGAAAUCACGUGAUGUCUGCAAAAUCCGUCCAAGAAAGAUCAACGUUCAAAUUUUAAACGUUCUUUUUGAAUGAAAAACCCUUCAAGAAUCCCGCCCAAAUUAACCCUGGAAAACCCCUAGUAGUUCUUCUAUGAAUACCGAGGUUUGGUAAUAGCAUAAGGAGAAAUUUUUUUGGAAGCCAUCUUCAAACAAUUUUACUCUUCAAAAUACUCUAAAAUUCUUAAUAGUGUCGCCUCUGUUACUCUUUGCUAUAACAGAGAAAUUUUUCUUUGCACUUUUCUUCGGAAAUUAUAAAAUUUGUGGUUGUAAAUUUGAGUUCAAGUCCGAAGCCAGAAUCCAUAGAUCUAUUCGACGCGCCCCAGUUCCUGCACUGCAAAAGGUCAAUUUUCCCUUCUAAGUUUUAGUCGCUCUUUAUUUUCUUAUUAAGUAUAAAAUUGUCAUUUUCUUAUCCAGUAGAAUAUGUGUUAGUUUUCUUUUGUUAUGUUAUAGAAUAUCAUGGUUUAGUCCUUUUUUUGUAUGAAUCAUGUGUAAAGAAAUUUGUUUGGUUCACUCAUGAAGCAUAAUAAGAUGACGCUAUUUUCGUACUAAUUAGGAAUUAAAAGUUUCACGUUAAGUUUGAUCUCAAAAACUAGUUUAUUCCCUAUCAAUCUCUGCUCAAUUCAAUUUAUUAAAAAAGGGAGUAGAUUCGAAUCCUUAAGAGCACCAGACUCAUUGUUCUAAUAAAGGUUAGAUCUAAACCUGCUAUUCUGUAUAUUAGAAAUCAUGAUUUUGGGUUCAUUUUGUGUAAAAAUUAUGUCUUUAAGGAAAUUAGGUUCUGGGCAUGUGCUAUUUGCAUUAUGACUGAUAAUAUUCCAUAAAAUGUUAGCUAUUUUUUGUUAAAAGUUACCAUGUGUUUUAUCAUUUAUAAAUAUUGUACAAGUUUAAUCUUGUGUUUUUUUAAAGUUUUUUUAGUUCUUAUGCAACAGAGAGUCAUGCAUUAAAUUCAGUCAGAAUCAUGACUAUAGGAAUCUAUUGCCUUUAUAGAUAUGUGAAAAGGUAACAUGUGCUCUAGCUGAGAGAUUCACCACACGUUUGAACAUUUAGAUGGAAACCAUUUUCAUCUACUGUUUGUAUAUUAAAACAUCUUAUUUUAGUUCAUGGUUUAGAACUAUUUCUUAAAAGAAAAACUUAUUUUAGCCAUAGAUUGACUUUGCAUACAUUUGAGAAAAUCACAUUUGUUUAUAAAAGGGUAGUAUUAAUUUGAAGUAUAUGUGUACAUAUAUAAGAUAUUCGUAUAGGCUAUUAAAGCAUCUGUUAAAAUCUAUGCUAAUAAACAAAUUGUAGCUUCAUUUGAUAUUAUGUUAUGAUUACAUGUGGUUGAUGAUCUUGUCAAAUGACUGGUUUAUGUGGUGGAAUAGCGCUAAGUCAUGUUAAAUAUCUGUGUUAAUUGAGGUAGUGUUAGUUUGAGUUAUAAAUUAGUUUGAGUUAGAAAGAAAACCUUCAGCCAUUUUGUUGUAUAAUAGUUAAUUGUUUACCAGAAUAUGAAGACGCUUCCCUAAAUAAAGAAAUGUGAGUAGAGUUAUUCUUACAGGACUAAGUAUGCCAGUUGCACUAGGUGUCACCCGCGCGCGUGAGAAAUUCAGUUAUCCUUGAUAUAUAAGGAUUACCACAAGGCAAGUAAGAGUUUGUGCAGAUGUGAAAAGAUGCGAAAGAUGAAG